GGGGCUCAGUGCCCAGGACUGCGGCAGGAAGCACCAAGGCUUCCCUAGCCCCUCCUCACACCCACCAAGCCUCCCGGCCCUAUCCCGGGUGGGACCCUACCCCUCCCAAUUCCCAGGAGUUAGGGGAGGCCAAGCUGUCAUUUAUUCGUCCUGUCCCAUCUCUCCCUUCCUCCCGCUUCCCACUCCCCUGGCAACCAAACCAGACCCAUCAAGGAGAAGGAACUGGCAGCUGUGCAGGGAGAGACUAAUGGCCCGGAAGGAAGGAGGGGCCUGGAAAGGAGACGAAGGCGGUCCCAUCUGAGGCAGACCUGUCUCACAGGACAGCGCUGGAGUCCCCAGCAGCAGCAGCAGCCCCAGCCCUAUGGUUCCUGGCAAACCCAGCAGACCUCAGCAACCCGGCUCCUGCAGACCAUCCGAGCUGCCUCUGUCCACUCCUGGGCAGGUUGUGCUUGCAUUCUGGAAGCUGUUUGACAUACAAAGGCCAGAUAUCAGCCUUCUCGCUAACUCUGGAGUAGGGGAGGGUGUGGUGGGAUGUGUGAUUGUGUGUGUAUGUGUGUGUAUGUA
ensembl:lncRNA novel transcript